UACAGAGGUCUCAAGCGUUGUUCGGAUUCAUUGGGCGUAAAGGGUGCGUAGGCGGCGCGGUAAGUCGGGUGUGAAAUCUUGGAGCUUAACUCCGAAACUGCAUUCGAUACUGCCGUGCUUGAGGACUGGAGAGGAGACUGGAAUUUACGGUGUAGCGGUGAAAUGCGUAGAUAUCAGGAGGAACACCGGUGGCGAAGGCGGCCCUCUGGACGGAUACUGACGCUGAGACGCGACAGCGUGGGGAGCAAACAGG
rnacentral:rRNA from 1 species